GGAGGGCACGAGCGUUGUUCGGAAUUAUUGGGCGUAAAGCGCGUGUAGGCGGCUGGGUAAGUCGGAUGUGAAAGCCCGGGGCUCAACCCCGGAAUUGCAUUCGAAACUGCCUGGCUAGAGUCUCGGAGAGGAGGGCGGAAUUCCCGGUGUAGAGGUGAAAUUCGUAGAUAUCGGGAGGAACACCAGUGGCGAAGGCGGCCCUCUGGACGAUGACUGACGCUGAGACGCGAAAGCGUGGGGAGCAAACAGGAUUAGAUACCCUGGUAGUCCACGCCGUAAACGUUGGGUGCUAGGUGUCGCGGGUAUUGACCCCCCUGCGGCGCCGGCGUUAACGCAUUUAGCACCCCGCCUGGGGAGUACGGUCGCAAGACUA
rnacentral:rRNA from 1 species